CUUGGAAGAGUACGUGCCAGAAAGACCACGACCAAGCAGCCUUGAGAUCUUAGGCAGCAUCUCCCUGAGACCAAAGAACUACAGACUCUUCACAACCUGCUCAAACUCUUGGUACAGGACCUCACCACACGGGUCAAGAAGGUUUCCUUCUCAUUUCUACUCUGAAGCUCACCUUCUCCUGCUCAAACUGCUGACAAAUGUUUCUGCUGCUCUAAAGUCUGGUCUCCAGAACUUCCUAAAAACUCUCAAAGUCUCUUCUGCUGCAGGUUGCUUUGUAGAACUGUUGCAGAAAACCUCACUAAACCACAUGGAGGGGCCUCAAGAUAGUCGUCCAAAUGAAACCGUACAAAAACCAAACUAGCACAACCCAAACACUAAAGUCUCCUGCAGCCUACCAGAGAACCUCUGAGAACAGAGAAUCAGGACAGGAACUCUUACCUUCUGGACAACCAACCGUUGGUUCACAAACAAGAAUACAGAAUGUGUCUGACCAAAAACCUCUAAAGACUCACUACAGCCAAGAUAAAGACACAACUCAGCUGCACCAAAUCCACUAAUCACUGCACACAUUAGCACCAUGUGCUAACUGUGGCUAAAGAACCACAUUUACCAAGACAACUAUCCAGUACAAAGCCCUAAAACACACCAAGAAACACAUUAAAGACGAUUUUACUGCUGGAAGCUGCAAGCCAACGCCUAAAGAACAAACUAAAGCAACGGAGCCAAACCCGGUUCAGUGGUGAAGAGAAGCAGAGGAAAUGUUUGUCUGCAGCUAAAUAAAGCAGGAAGACACUGAGCUGCUCAGGUGUUCCUGAUAACACCAAGCUGCUCAGGUGUUCCUGAUAACACCAAGCAGCCACCUGGACAGCCAAUAGGAACACAGCUUACUGGAAGUCCAGAGGGCUGGGCUUAGUCAAGGAAAUUUAGUUUAAAGUUGAAGCAGAAAGUUAAUAAAGAAAGUUGAAAACCACCUUCUGAUACCUGAAAUCUCUGAGUUUUCACACAAAGAACACCUGAACAUGUCAAACUGGUUCCAUAGUAGAACCAUCAUUGUAAAAACGUCAUAGUAUGGUGUGUUGCUCAAAAAACAUUAGGACCCGGCUGUCAGGGGACAAACAUGUAAGAAACAUGAGAACAGAGAGAACCCAACCAGUAGGUCACAGUUUAUCAUCAUCUAAUCAUCUCCUGAAGUCCAUAUGGUGAGAGACAUCAGUAUCUGGUUGUUAAUUUACCAGAGGAUGCUUAUAAUCAUGCUGAUGUGGUCUGUACUCUACAGUAUUUUAGUGACUCAAUAAAUGCCUAAGUUGUUUUUUUUUAAAUGCUUUUUAGUUUUUAAUAAACAUUUAACAGCCUAUAUGUAAUCAAUAAA